rnacentral:rRNA from 1 species
UUAAGCGACUAAGCGUACACGGUGGAUGCCCUGGCAGUCAGAGGCGAUGAAGGACGUGCUAAUCUGCGAAAAGCGUCGGUAAGGUGAUAUGAACCGUUAUAACCGGCGAUGUCCGAAUGGGGAAACCCAGUGCAAUUCGUUGCACUAUCGUUAACUGAAUACAUAGGUUAACGAGGCGAACCGGGGGAACUGAAACAUCUAAGUACCCCGAGGAAAAGAAAUCAACCGAGAUUCCCCCAGUAGCGGCGAGCGAACGGGGAGCAGCCCAGAGUCUGAAUCAGCUUGUGUGUUAGUGGAACGGUCUGGAAAGUCCGACGGUACAGGGUGAUAGUCCCGUACACCAAAAUGCACAGGUUGUGAACUCGAAGAGUAGGGCGGGACACGUGGUAUCCUGUCUGAAUAUGGGGGGACCAUCCUCCAAGGCUAAAUACUCCUGACUGACCGAUAGUGAACCAGUACCGUGAGGGAAAGGCGAAAAGAACCCCGGCGAGGGGAGUGAAAAAGAACCUGAAACCGUGUACGUACAAGCAGUGGGAGCACCUUCGGGUGUGACUGCGUACCUUUUGUAUAAUGGGUCAGCGACUUAUAUUCUGUAGCAAGGUUAACCGUAUAGGGGAGCCGCAGGGAAACCGAGUCUUAACUGGGCGUUAAGUUGCAGGGUAUAGACCCGAAACCCGGUGAUCUAGCCAUGGGCAGGUUGAAGGUUGGGUAACACUAACUGGAGGACCGAACCGACUAAUGUUGAAAAAUUAGCGGAUGACUUGUGGCUGGGGGUGAAAGGCCAAUCAAACCGGGAGAUAGCUGGUUCUCCCCGAAAGCUAUUUAGGUAGCGCCUCGUGAACUCAUCUUCGGGGGUAGAGCACUGUUUCGGCUAGGGGGUCAUCCCGACUUACCAACCCGAUGCAAACUACGAAUACCGAAGAAUGUUAUCACGGGAGACACACGGCGGGUGCUAACGUCCGUCGUGAAGAGGGAAACAACCCAGACCGCCAGCUAAGGUCCCAAAGUCAUGGUUAAGUGGGAAACGAUGUGGGAAGGCACAGACAGCCAGGAUGUUGGCUUAGAAGCAGCCAUCAUUUAAAGAAAGCGUAAUAGCUCACUGGUCGAGUCGGCCUGCGCGGAAGAUGUAACGGGGCUAAACCAUGCACCGAAGCUGCGGCAGCGACACGAUGUGUUGUUGGGUAGGGGAGCGUUCUGUAAGCCUGCGAAGGUGACCUGUGAGGGUUGCUGGAGGUAUCAGAAGUGCGAAUGCUGACAUAAGUAACGAUAAAGCGGGUGAAAAGCCCGCUCGCCGGAAGACCAAGGGUUCCUGUCCAACGUUAAUCGGGGCAGGGUGAGUCGACCCCUAAGGCGAGGCCGAAAGGCGUAGUCGAUGGGAAACAGGUUAAUAUUCCUGUACUUGGUGUUACUGCGAAGGGGGGACGGAGAAGGCUAUGUUAGCCGGGCGACGGUUGUCCCGGUUUAAGCAUGUAGGCGGAGGUUCCAGGUAAAUCCGGUACCUUUUAACGCUGAGGUGUGAUGACGAGGCACUACGGUGCUGAAGUAACAAAUGCCCUGCUUCCAGGAAAAGCCUCUAAGCAUCAGGUAACAUUAAAUCGUACCCCAAACCGACACAGGUGGUCAGGUAGAGAAUACCAAGGCGCUUGAGAGAACUCGGGUGAAGGAACUAGGCAAAAUGGUGCCGUAACUUCGGGAGAAGGCACGCUGAUAGGUAGGUGAAGCCCCUGCGGGUGGAGCUGAAAUCAGUCGAAGAUACCAGCUGGCUGCAACUGUUUAUUAAAAACACAGCACUGUGCAAACACGAAAGUGGACGUAUACGGUGUGACGCCUGCCCGGUGCCGGAAGGUUAAUUGAUGGGGUUAUCCGUAAGGAGAAGCUCUUGAUCGAAGCCCCGGUAAACGGCGGCCGUAACUAUAACGGUCCUAAGGUAGCGAAAUUCCUUGUCGGGUAAGUUCCGACCUGCACGAAUGGCGUAAUGAUGGCCAGGCUGUCUCCACCCGAGACUCAGUGAAAUUGAACUCGCUGUGAAGAUGCAGUGUACCCGCGGCAAGACGGAAAGACCCCGUGAACCUUUACUAUAGCUUGACACUGAACAUUGAGCCUUGAUGUGUAGGAUAGGUGGGAGGCUUUGAAGCGUGGACGCCAGUCUGCGUGGAGCCAACCUUGAAAUACCACCCUUUAAUGUUUGAUGUUCUAACGUAGACCCCUAAUCGGGGUUGCGGACAGUGUCUGGUGGGUAGUUUGACUGGGGCGGUCUCCUCCCAAAGAGUAACGGAGGAGCACGAAGGUUAGCUAAUCCUGGUCGGACAUCAGGAGGUUAGUGCAAUGGCAUAAGCUAGCUUGACUGCGAGCGUGACGGCGCGAGCAGGUGCGAAAGCAGGUCAUAGUGAUCCGGUGGUUCUGAAUGGAAGGGCCAUCGCUCAACGGAUAAAAGGUACUCCGGGGAUAACAGGCUGAUACCGCCCAAGAGUUCAUAUCGACGGCGGUGUUUGGCACCUCGAUGUCGGCUCAUCACAUCCUGGGGCUGAAGUAGGUCCCAAGGGUAUGGCUGUUCGCCAUUUAAAGUGGUACGCGAGCUGGGUUUAGAACGUCGUGAGACAGUUCGGUCCCUAUCUGCCGUGGGCGCUGGAGAAUUGAGGGGGGCUGCUCCUAGUACGAGAGGACCGGAGUGGACGCAUCACUGGUGUUCGGGUUGUCAUGCCAAUGGCAUUGCCCGGUAGCUAAAUGCGGAAGAGAUAAGUGCUGAAAGCAUCUAAGCACGAAACUUGCCCCGAGAUGAGUUCUCCCUGAGACUUUAAGUCUCCUGAAGGAACGUUGAAGACGACGACGUUGAUAGGCCGGGUGUGUAAGCGCAGCGAUGCGUUGAGCUAACCGGUACUAAUGAACCGUGAGGCUUAACCU